AUGAACGCUGGCGGCGUGCCUAAUCCCUGCAAGUCGCGCGAACAGACGAGGAGCUUGCUCCUCUGACGUUAGCGGCGGACGGGUGAGUAACCCGUGGAUAACCUACCUAUAAGACUGGGAUAACUUCGGGAAACCGGAGCUAAUACCGGAUAAUAUAUUUAACCGCAUGGUUCAAUAGUGAAAGACGGUUUUGCUGUCACUUAUAGAUGGAUCCGCGCCGCAUUAGCUAGUUGGUAAGGUAACGGCUUACCAAGGCAACGAUGCGUAGCCGACCUGAGAGGGUGAUCGGCCACACUGGAACUGAGACACGGUCCAGACUCCUACGGGAGGCAGCAGUAGGGAAUCUUCCGCAAUGGGCGAAAGCCUGACGGAGCAACGCCGCGUGAGUGAUGAAGGUCUUCGGAUCGUAAAACUCUGUUAUUAGGGAAGAACAAAUGUGUAAGUAACUAUGCACGUCUUGACGGUACCUAAUCAGAAAGCCACGGCUAACUACGUG
rnacentral:rRNA from 1 species